rnacentral:pre_miRNA from 1 species
AUCAUACUCCCUCCGUUCUAAAAUUCUUGUCUUAGCUUUGUCUUGAAAUGGAUGUAUCUAAAUACUAAAACUUGACUAGAUACGUUCAUAUCUAAAUAAAUCUAAGACAAGAAUUUUGAAACGGAGGAAGUAGUUU